UAGGGAAUAUUGCACAAUGGGGGAAACCCUGAUGCAGCGACGCCGCGUGAGUGAUGAAGGCCUUCGGGUCGUAAACCCCUGUCGAAUGGGACGAAAGACUCGCGAGUGAAUACUUCGCGAGAGUGACGGUACCGUUAAAGGAAGCCACGGCUAACUCUGUGCCAGCAGCCGCGGUAAUACAGAGGUGGCAAGCGUUGUUCGGAAUUACUGGGCGUAAGGGGCGCGUAGGCGGCCCUCUAAGUCAGACGUGAAAUCCCCCGGCUUAACCUGGGAACUGCGUCUGAUACUGGAGGGCUUGAGUAUGGGAGAGGGAUGUAGAAUUCCAGGUGUAGCGGUGAAAUGCGUAGAUAUCUGGAGGAAUACCGGUGGCGAAGGCGGCAUCCUGGACCAUUACUGACGCUGAGGCGCGAAAGCUAGGGGAGCAAACGGGAUUAGAUACCCCCGUAGUCCCUGAGCGGGCUGGCAAGGCGCAU
rnacentral:rRNA from 1 species